ensembl:lncRNA
GAGUCAACACUGCCUUUUCUGGAAAGGAUCAUAGAUGCCUGGGAGUGGAUUUGGCAGCUCUGAUAAAGCUGAGCGUAGCUGUAGAUGAAGCAGGACUGGACAGUGAUGUCCCCACCCUUUCCAUAGCAGAGGUGGUGCUCACCUACAUGGAAAACAGCAGGUCAGAAGCCUUGAUUCAGUGGGCAGCAGAGCAUUUCUCUCAUGCAUGCUUUCUGCUCUAUGAGCAGAUGCACCCAGAGGACCCCUUUGGACAUGUCAUGCAACAGCAUUUUAGUCAGCUGAACUCUGCACUUUGUUCUUUGUCUCAAAGCCUGAUUGUGAACCACAGCAGAAGAGUUUUUUUUAAAAAGUAAAUACCUGCAGCCCUAAGAGCCAUGGGAAACUGGAACACCUGGAAAAGGGUGUAACUGUAGGUAAUUUUAGAAGUCGUCAACUGGGCCAGCUGGGUUGAAGCAAAAAGGGCCAAGGCAGAGCUGCUGCCUGCUCUGGUAAUGUGGCUAGUCAUCUGAAGGUCCCUCGCCAAAAGCAGCCUGUUUGCUGUGUGGGUUUAAGGCAACAUAUGGGUUCCUCUGAGCUUUUCAUGUUAGAUAUUCUGUAGAAAUUUUUUGGCAAGACAUCUCAUCAGAAUUUGAGCUGCUGCUUCUUUCCAGCUAGACAGUUUUAAAGACCCGUGCAGAUGCUUCAUUGAGGGUCUUUGUUUUCUUGCGGGAAGUGAGUCUUUUCUUCCAGAAGGAAUCAUCUUGAGGGAUUUCUAUUUUAGGGCUGGACUGAGUGCAGUGUCAAGGAUGUGAGUGAGUGUUUCACCUGUUGUAUUGCAGAAGAUGAGCAACACAGAGUGCAGGCUCUGGAGCCUUCUGAUGAACGUGAGGCGUUCCUAUAAUAAUGACUGAGUUUUAGCUGUGACUGUAUUCUGUGCCAUUUUUUAUGUUAAGUUUUGCAAGUGUCAGAAAUGUAGGAGAGAAGAUAAAGCAGGGACAAUGAGUAACAUUGAGAGGAAGGUGAUGAGUCCAUGCUGGGAGAUCUGUGUAGGAGUAACUGAUAGCAGGGAGCUCAGUGAUUGGCCUUUCAGACAAAGACAAGGAAUGGCAUCUGAAGAGUUCUUCUUACUUUGCCUUGUCUGCAUGAAAGGGGAUGGAACCCUCCUGGACUCCGUUCUUAUCCAACAUGACAGGUAUGUACUGACUUGUUUUUGUAGUAUUCUUUUAUCUCACACAGGCUCCUCUGAUAGAUUUGAGGAGACAGUAAAACCCUGGGAGGAACAGAUGAAUGGUAAUAUCCAUUUGGCUUUUUCCAUUCUCAUUCACUAAGGACUGCUCAUUGCCAGGUGAAGCCAGCCCAACAAAUUCCUGCUUUUGGCUGCUUGCUUCCUUUAGGGAGCAGUAAGCAGAAGCUGAAAGUUGGUGUAGGGUAUUUGAAAGUGCUGCAGAUUGAUUUCUAGGGCAUGUCAGAUUGUCAGAUGGCUGCAUCAAGUUCCUUUGCAAUUUUUGUUUUAUUUUUAAAGCUAAAAAGUGUUGGUUCUUGUUUGCUUGAAAUUUAGGUUAUUGUGGUCCUCGUUGGCUUGCAGUUCCUCCUCAUCAUGGCCCCAUCAGGUUGGCUGGCAGUGUCAGUGAGUUGGCACGUGCAGCUCAGUCUGAAGUUCUUGGCUUGAGACGUCAGCACUCCGCUCUUAUAAAACCCAGUGUGAUGCUGAGCACUGGAGGCUUUGGGGAGGAGAAUGGACAUCACUGUCGUCUGCGGAGUUCUCCUGUUCUUGUGAAGUCUGCAGGUCCUGGCACAGCAGGUGUGUGAAAGAGGAAAACGCUGAUAAGGAUGGGGGAAGUGUUUCAAGUGGGAUGCUGAUGGCAGGGGUAAGGGAGAUGUGUUUGUGCUGGCAGUGAAAUGUCUAUCCGUGAGUGAUGUCACAGUGCAAUUGCACUGGCAGGCAGAGAGAUGUGAAGGUUCGGAACGUCUCAGGAGAAAGAACAGUGUGACCUGUGGUAUCUUCUGUCUCUAGAGAUGAGCGACUGUAGCAAACUGCCAUGUCUCUCAGACAGCCCAGCCCUGGUGGUAGGAGGACGAAGAUCCCCAUCAAAUGCAGCUUUGGCAAUAUUAUGGCUGAGGUUCCCAGAAAAAUGGCUGUUGGAUAGAGAGACUCCAGCAUAAGAAGUGAUGUAGCUAGACUGGGAUUCUUCUAACUGGAGGAGAGUUGAGGGGGCAGACUGUGAGCAAAGAAACUGUUGAAACAGGGUGGCCUGAAGGACAGACAAACAGGAAGACAGAAGCACCAGCUGGAAUUGUGAGGCAGAUUUCAGUCCAACUCCAAACCUUCCUCAUCAAGUACUGCAAUUAUUCUCUGAAGCUGCUUGUUGCAGUUUGCUAUCUACUGAAAGUUAAGCUGAACUGAAGAAGCAGAGUGGGUACAUUCAGAGAAGGAAAAUCUCUUCAGGGUUUCUAAACUGAAAGACCAAGCAUCUGAGUGAUUAAAUACCCGCUUUUGGCUCCUGCUGGAAAUGGGGUGUAGAACAAGGAGAUCUGAUCUGUUGCUCUACUUGCUGUUACCUAAUGCACCUAAUGAGUGAUCUCUAAUGGAGAAAAGAAAUUAAACAGCACCCUUUUUGAAACUCUUACUUCUUGAAGUUUGAUAAUUUCAUGUUUCAUAGGCCACGUUAUCUCCAGUGGUAAGCAGAACUGGAACCUGGGAUGCAAUCUGUUCUGAAAGAGUAAUUCUUUGAGCUCAUUUGUGACUCGUGUGUUUCAUGAUUCAUCUCAGCAGAAAGAAGAGAGAGAACUUCCUCUCCAUAGGAUAAUGUUUUAGUUUGGGAGCAUUAUGGAGCAGAAUACCUAGCUCUUGUUCCAGAAGUGCCUCAGGAAAACUGCUGUACUUGUAGUAGCAGUUAGUAACUACUCCUUAGUUGUGAGGUCUAGAAUCAAGCUGGGCAGUGACAUGCUGCAGGCUUACGUAGUAAAAGAUACUCACUGCAGGGGGCAAAAACUUGGAGUUAAUAGCAAGUGGUUGGUGAGAUUGGCAGUGAAAUUCAGGAGGUGAAAGCUGUCCUUAAGCUGUUCAAUGCUUCACUAGGAGUUGUUGCAGGGAAACAGCACAGGAAUUACAAAGCAGUCUUUAGUUGAGUCUAUAGCAUGCUUUGAGUUUGUGAGACAGUGUUCAUUUGAGAUCAUAAUGCUGUAACUUACAGUUCAACUUUCCAGACUAAGUUUUACAUUAAAAAGUCAAUGCUAAAUGGAGGAAUACCAUUUUAUGAAUAAUAAACUAUUUUUUAAUCUUGGUUAGACUGCA